GACGAACGCUGGCGGCGUGCUUAACACAUGCAAGUCGAACGGAAAGGCCCUGCUUUUGUGGGGUGCUCGAGUGGCGAACGGGUGAGUAACACGUGAGUAACCUGCCCUUGACUUUGGGAUAACUUCAGGAAACUGGGGCUAAUACCGGAUAGGAGCUCCUGCUGCAUGGUGGGGGUUGGAAAGUUUCGGCGGUUGGGGAUGGACUCGCGGCUUAUCAGCUUGUUGGUGGGGUAGUGGCUUACCAAGGCUUUGACGGGUAGCCGGCCUGAGAGGGUGACCGGCCACAUUGGGAUUGAGAUACGGCCCAGAGUCCUACGGGAGGCAGCAGUGGGGAAUAUUGCACAAUGGGCGGAAGCCUGAUGCAGCAACGCCGCGUGCGGGAUGACGGCCUUCGGGUUGUAAACCGCUUUCGCCUGUGACGAAGCGUGAGUGACGGUAAUGGGUAAAGAAGCACCGGCUAACUACGUG
rnacentral:rRNA from 1 species